rfam:Triticum aestivum genome assembly, contig: Triticum_aestivum_CS42_TGACv1_scaffold_579255_7BL
GGUGUACUCCCUCCGUCCGGAAUUACUUGUCGCGGAAAUGGUUAGAAAUGGAUGUAUCUAUAACUAAAUUAUGUCUAUAUACAUCCAUUUCUUCGACAAGUAUUUUCGGACGGAGGGAGCAGUAG